UGUUUCUUAAUGGAUCCUAAAUACAUAGUUAUGGUUGAACUCUGGGAAAACUGUCAAUCCCUCGAGGCCCCUGAGUCCUUGGUUGCUACCAGGAGGUUCGGAGUAGACACUGGCUACAGUCUUUCUGUGCAAGGCCCUGUGUGACCUUUACACACUGUGUUUAUGUUGGGCAUCUCACCCCACACCCCUCCACCUCCUCCAUCUCCCCUGUCCUUUUCUCCCAGAUAUACCUGCCGAACCCUUUUUGAGCGCCACAAGCUUCUGUUCAGUUUUCACAUGUGUGCCAAAAUCCUGGAGACGUCUGGGAAGCUCAACAUGGACGAGUACAACUUCUUUCUGCGUGGGGGUGUGGUUCUGGAUCGGGAGGGCCAAAUGGACAACCCAUGUACUAGCUGGCUGGCAGAUGCCUACUGGGAUAACAUCACCGAGCUGGACAAACUGACCAACUUCCAUGGGCUCAUGAA
rnacentral:lncRNA from 1 species